ACCCCUCCAGCUGGGGAGCUGCAGCUCAGUGGGGUCUCCUGCCUGAGCCCUGGUCUUGGUGCUGGGCUUUGUAGCUGACUCUCACCCUGAUCUCUCCUUGCUGACUUGGCUCCAGACGUGCCUUUUAUCUUGGGGGGUCUUCAGUCCCCACAGGCAAACAGGUGAUUGAGCUGUCUCCCACCAGCUCUCCUGCUUUUCAGUUGCUGGUGGCUCGGACUGUUCCCUGAGCAUGGGACUUCACCUCUGAGGCUGAGAAGGGCCCUGGGCUCCACCUCCUGAACUUGUGUUCCAGCAGGAGAGCUGCUGAGUGCACCACGAUUGCCACUGUCCAUUCAAAACCAGUGACUUUGCUGAAGGUGUGAGGCUUUCCAAAAGGCGUGGCUUUAAUUGGCCAAUUCUCAUCACCAAAAUACUGCUGCUGUAACAUCCUGACCUCUUCUGGUGCACAACCCACAGACACAUUCACAUCAGCUCUGAAUAAAAGCAAUAACGUGGCUAACAGCACUGGAUAAGCCCCAGAAGCACUCCUGCACUCCAGCCAGGCAUCUGCAGAACGUGGAGCCCACCAGGUGGCCAUCUGCCUCUGCUGUGACACACCUCAUCUGGGUUUGUGCUGGCUGAGCUCCUGAGUUUCAACACCUCUUGCUUCUGGCUAGAGGCUCCAGUAACACCUUCAUCAUCCAUUUCCACAGCCACUUUAAAUGGAACAGAUUUACUUUUUGUUUUCCACAAAACAAAGUUGGUUUCUUUGUUUGUUUUUUUUUUCAACAAUGCCCACUUUGAUUAACUGAAGACUUUUCCCAACAUGCAAACUGUUCUGUGUGACACCAUCCACUGUCCAUGCAGAACUGCUUACAAAUCCCAUUUCUAUUGUCUUGCUUACCAAUAAGAACUACAAAUAAGUAUUUUAACUAUGAUUUCUAGGAACUUUUUAGUGUUAGUUUUGUAAUAGAAACUUGCAGCCAUACCCAGGUUGAUAAAGCCAAGCCUCAAGCGAGUUUAGAGAAAAUGGAGUCACAAGGCAUCAUGCAAAAGAUGAGUACAGGCUCAUCACCCUGCCCCAGAAACCUCGGAGGGGGUGUGCAGAAGGAUGGCUCUCACUCAGAAGCCUGCUCAAAGGUCCAUGCCAAGCUCAUUUGUGUCACUAAAUGCUCUGUAUUUGAGUGCCAGACCAUCCAUGCUCUGGUAUGGUACAUGCUGUGGUCUUUCUUUCUUCCAGGCUUUUACUCCUCAGGUGUAACUGUGUGCUCAGGUAAGAAUAACCACAGAGAAGUCUGCUUACAGUUCUUGUUUUUCCCACUGACACAACCCUGGCUAAGAAAGGAUGAUUUAGAGACUUCAGCUCAGAGUCCCUUUAGCCACACAAUAUUCAGCAUAA